rnacentral:lncRNA from 1 species
AAAAAAAAAAAAGUCAGUCAUAUGCAUGGUUUUAGCCAUUCGAAAAAGUCUAUAAGAUUUUAAAAGCAUUCGAAUGUAAGUGUGCAUAAUGUUGUUCGAAAGAGGCAUUGCAUUGUGCUACGAACUCAAUAUUCUUAAACCAGUUUGUACGAAAACAUAAAUAGAUAAAGAUGUUUUUCAUUCAUUUUUGGGCGAACAGAAAGUAAUCAUUUGUAUAACUGAACACUGAUUAAACAAAUUAGCAAAGUACAGAGUCGUCACCAUCUUAAACCUACAAUGAUCAAUACAGUGGUUUCUGUUUUGUGUUUGAAACGACCGAAGAAAAAAUGGUCAUCUGUCUAGCUAUUUAUUUUUCGAUCCCGUUAUACUUAUCAUUGGCAGUAAAUCCGGAAAAGCCUUUCGAAAGCAGCAAAUUGAAAAAUAAAACAUUCUUUGUAUUAUAUACAAGAUAAAGUAGACUGAGCG